AGGAAGGGGAGGGGAGGAAAGGGAGGGAUGGGGGUGUGGUGUAUGUGUGUAUGUGGGGGGUGGUGAGCCAGCCCCAGCUAAUGGCUGGGGCCAGCCUCUUCAAGGUGCGCGUUCAGAUUUGAAGGUGCCUCCCCCCCUUCUCUUUUCCUUCCUCUCAGAGAGAUACCUGAGCCAGCAGGUCAACUCAGGUUACCUCAACAAGUAUGAGACCCCUGAAGGGGUGGAAUGCCAGCAAGUGUAAGCAGGUCCUCUAACCCAAAAGAUGGGUUCCCCCAGGGGGUCCUUCAGGCUGGAGACUUUGAGGAACAAGCGCAUCGCAUCCCCAAAUAUUUCAGGCCUCAGAAGUCUCUACUUCCCUUGCUCCUCCUCCCCAGGGUGGGAAGCUGCCCUGCCUUCCCUUGAUCUUUAAGAAUCUCUUGUCGUCUCUAUGUGGGUGGAGGUGAGGGCCCAAGGUGGGGGCACACUAUAUACCUAGUCAGGGCCGCAGUGUUUCUUCAGACACCUGUCUGAGGAAAGAAGCCCAGGCAAUAGCCAGGAGCUUCGCUGGGAGCUCUUAGAGCAAAGCUUGUGGGGACCGAGAAGGAGAGGGUAGCUGGUGGGUCCCUGGCUCCUGGCUGGGCUGAUCCAGGAUGUUUCUUCUUAGAACACUACUUGUAUCUAGGUUGGAGGAGACUGGUGGAGGCCUCUUGUUCCCACAUACCCUAACCCCAUAGGAAAUUCCAGCUUAGCCUAGAGGGGCCCCCUGGCUUCACCUUACCCCUUACUUCCUAGACAGGCUGCCCAGGCCAGGAUGUAGAUGGGAACUGUCAACACUCUAAACAUUUACCCACACUUUCUCUAGGGGGUUCCCCCCAUCACCAAUACUGGGUAAAUUCAAGUUAAUUCUACCAGAUAAAAGAACCUUAGUCCAUCAGCACCCUUCUGUGGCCAUAAGUGAGUGUGGUUGGUUAUGUGAGCUUAACACAGAAAGAAAAGGGAGAAAGUGAGAGAGAUGUGGAUACGUGUGCUGUGUGCAUACGAAUGAAGAAGAGGAAUACGAAUGCUUUUUCCUGUCCUCCCCCUUCACAGUGUGUGAAGUUGUUACAUGCAGGGCAAUACUGGGACACACUCAAGAUACACUUAUACUUUAUAUGCUACCUUCCACUCUGUAACACAGCAAUGCAUGCUCGCUAAACUAUCAUGUGUGCCUGGAGGCAUCCCUGUCACCGAUACUGGGCACACACAUGCACACCCAGCCACAUAGGAGACUAACACCUGAUAAACACACAUGCAUCUUUACUCUUUGCAUCAUGAAAAAAAAACUGUUGCUUAUUCUCCUUCCACAUCCUGGGGUUUCAGGGUUGGAUGAGAAAGGAGGUAGUUAGAAAACCAGUUCUUAAUGUUUCCCCUCCGGAGUCCACCUCUGGGAUUGGAAGAAGGAAUGGCAGUGCACGGGAAGAUGGUGUAGAGAAUACCCUCCUGCCCCCAGUCACUAUAUUAUCUAAAUACCUGCUGGGGAAAUGGCCACUCUCAGCCAAAUUCCUCCCAAAUAUUCACUGGUACCCCAGCAUUUCCAGGGUACCCUGAAAUUGGAGGAUCCUCCCCCCUCUCCCCCAUACACACUUGAGUUAGGGACUGCCCAAACUCUGCUCUGACACCCAGAACUCCAACCCUGGAGCAGCAGGAGGGGAGGUCAGAGGAGGGCUGUGCCAGUGCUGCAAGUCUCCCUAGGGUCCAGGACGGUGGGGGGUACCACCCAGUUCUCCUCCACUACCAGAGCCUGCCCCAGCCUUGCCUUCUCUGAGACUACUCUGCGCGUACCGAGCAUUUGGGUCACUAGGGACUGUCAUAAAUACUUUCCCUUCCCCUGCUGGAAAGAGGAGGCUCUGGCAGGCUGGAUCCGCUCUGGGGCCUGCGCCUUAUCUUUUGGUAGGUGGGAGGAUAUCUCAACAUUUUAUGGUCCAACGAAAACCCUGCCAAAGAGCUAUUCUUCCAAGGCCUUUGUGUCUUGGAAUGCGACUGUCCCGAGUGUGCCGCCACCACCGCCUGCUCAGAGAGCCCACCAGCCAUGAAACCCCCUGGCUGGACUUGGUUUACCCUUUUGGGGUGGGGGUGUUCACUCGCCUUUUAUUUUUUUCAUUUGAUUAUUUUUUUUCUUUUACAUGUAUCUGGUUGAUUUCGCUCCCGGCGCCUGGAAAUAAAGGGACCGCAAGCAGCCAGCCUCGCCGGGGCAUCUCUGCCCCUUGCCCCGAUUCCUGUAUCGCCCUCCUAGGUGAGAGGAUUGAUUUGCUCAGAGCCAGUGGGGCCGGGCUGGGCCCGGGCUCGGGGCCUUCUCGCCGCUGCUCCUCCGGACCGGGCCUCAAAUGUCAGUGCCGCCAGAUGGGCCGGGGGCAUCCCCACCGCCUCUAACAUUGAGCAAUAGCGCCACCUCGCGUCCACUUGCUCCAAUGCAGUCCGGCCGGGAAAAAGCCAACAGAGCAAGUAAACCGCAGGCUUGGCCCGAAGGUGAGAAGUGGCAGGAAGGAGUUUCCAAAGAGAUGCACGGUGCAAAGGAACUGACGCGAUCUACCCCCAUUCAGGCGCAUUUCUGGGCUCGGAACACCUCCGCGCACUCAGAUUCACCCUCCGAAGCUCCCGCGACCGCCCGGCUGCGGUGCGCGCCCUAAGCUCCUCGCUCCUCUUACCCUGCCGUUGGUUCCAACCGCCUAUUUCUCCGCCGCCCACAGGACUUUGGGGUGGGACUCUGAGUGCUGCCAGCCGUUUGCCCCCUGGUUGGUAGCCCAUCCCUCUCUCUCACGCGCGCUCUACCUCUCCCUCCCAGCCGGUGAGAUCCUGUUCUCCGUGGGCCAUAGACAAAACAUUCCUAUAAUCCGAUUUCAAAGGAAAGGGUGUCCACCUUAUUUAAACCAUAAAACAAUUAAGCCCAGACGUCUAGCCAGCUCCGCGCUGCUGUUUUGUUCGGCCCCAUUCAGAAUCCAGCACAGGGAGACAAACAGCGCCAUAAAAGUGGCAUUUCGGGGCUGCGGAAAUGUACCUAUCCGCUGCCUUCCCAAGUGGAACAACCUUUAAGGUUUUGUGAUUCUGACAAAGGAGCAGAGGAGAGGUGGGAGGGGAAGAUUGCUAGCCCCCAUCCUCCCCACGCCAGCUUUCGUUUCUCUCCCAGAUGUGUGUUGUGCUGAUGCGGUUUUAAUUCAC